ACUGCCACUAAAAGCAUUGCAGGUGUGGCUGCUGUGCCCAGUGUGCAUCAGUAGGUAGCAGAGAGGCGAGAGGCUGUGCCUACACUCAGUGUUCUGAUCUAUGAACAUCUGAGUGAUUAGUAGUCUAACAUU